CUCCUCUCUCGUCUCCUCCACCUGUGUCUACUGCUUCUGUCGCAAGAGAAAUUCAGAAGCAGAAGUUGAACAGAGAUGUAAAAACAAAUCACAGAUCCAGAAACACUCCAACACUGAUGAGCAGGCUGGAGGAGGUGACGUUUGUUACGCCUCCCUGGACAAGCUGAGUGUUGGAAAGAAACGCCCCAAGAAGACGAGACUUCAGAACUCUGAUUUCAGUACUUAUUCUGAGGUCAGAACUGGUUGAGUGUAAAACUACUGAGGAAGAUCUUUCCAGGAAGCAGAGUAAGAUGACAAAUCAGGUUUAUGGUCACAUCACCCUUACACAUGAGGAAGAUGAGUGAAAAGUUGAAGUGCUUACUCCCGUGUCUAGUGAUAGCUUAUGUUAUCGACUUCUGUGUCUCGACGUCUGAACUGUUUUUUUAUUGUUGAAUAUCAAUAAGGUGACGUGCAGCUGGGCUUCACUGUGAUACAUAUGAUUGUAUUUUGAUAAAAAAAAAAAAAAAAAGAACCUUCUACUACUUUAACAAUGUAGAUUAAUAUAUGAUCUAAAAUCUAAAUUUAAACUUUGUUUACGUGUCUUUCUCUAAUAUAAGUUUACCAACCAGACCUGAUAUAUGUAAAAUGUUGAUAUGCUGUAUGUUCUAAAUAGCAUAUUUCAUAUGUAAAAUGAGGUUAAUUUUACCUCUAUAUAAUAUUUGCG